UCAACUUUCUCUCUCUAAAGCUCACCUCCCAUGGCAACCCCAUCCCCAACCCUCAAGUUCUAGGGAGUCCUCUUUGAAUCAAAAUGAAUCAUUAAAGCCCACUGUUGCCACUUCCUCGCCCUUACAGUCCUCUUCCUCUUCCCCAUUCUUUAUCAUCAUCUACCCUACUUUCCAAACUACUCUCUCUCAAUCCCAACCCAAACAAAUCCGAAUGCUCCCCUCCCACCCAACCCAAAUCUCUGAUUACUCUCUCCACACCCUAGCUCUCCCCCUCAUCUUCAUCCUCUUUGUCUCCCUAUUCUCUUUCUACGCAAUAAGCACAAUCACCUACAUCACUUACCACGACUUGUACGGUAGACCUGUCAAAUGCGCCUCCGCCAUCAUAUCCCUAUUCUAUUCCUUCACCCCCCUCGCCAUCACAACAGUCGUCUCUUAAAUCGUUGUCUUUAUAGUUUUUGCCUCUUUUGUGAUUUUGGUGCCCCAACUGGUUGAGAUUCUAAGGCUUGAUGUUGAUUACAAUUCGAAUUAUUUUCUGGAUUUUUGUGUUGAUUUUGUUACUGGUAUUAGUUCGUUUGCAAGUGAAUUGGGCAUUGGCGUGUGUGAUUGUCGUGGUGGAAUCGAAAUGCGGGCUCGAGCAGUUGUGGCGGAGCACUUAUUUGAUGGAGGGGAUGAGACUAGUUUCGUUGUAUUUGAUGGUUUUUUUUGGGGGCUGUGAUUAGGGUUGUGUGGGCUUGCUUGGGGACUUUCUUAGUCAGUUUCAGUGAUGUGUGGAAGUGCUCAUCUUUUGUUCUUCAGAUUGUGAUGGGUUGGAGUAUUGUGGCUAUGUUUUUGCUUCAGAAUUUGGCUUCUAAUACUGUGUUGUAUUGUAUAUGUAUUGCAAGGCUUUGAAUGGUGAACUGGCUGGGGAGAUUGCUGUAGUAGGUAGACUUGUUGGUAUUUCAAUCAUAUCUGCGAUUAGAGUUGUCCUUCUACUUGCUUCGGGUGGAGAGUUCGCAUUUGUGGCUUUUGGUGAAGCUGUUAAUCAGGGUUGAUGUUGCUAUUACACCGAAAUAUUCACUGAAUGUAUUGAUCGUUGAUUUCCUUUGGCUUGUUUCCAGACAGAUGAUUUGCAGGACCAUAUCAUUAUCUGUGGAUUUGGACGUGUUGGCCAGAUCAUUGCGCAGCUUCUUUCAGAACGACUUAUUCCAUUUGUUGCUCUUGAUGUGAGGAGGUUCAUUGUCUGACAUGCUGCUUGUAUUCCUGGCCAUGAGGUGCUCCAUAAAGUUGGUGCUGAAAGAGCAUGUGCAGCAGCAAUAACUUUAGAUACCCCUGGUGCAAACUAUAGAACAGUGUGGGCUUUGAGCAAGUAUUUCCCUAAUGUCAAGACAUUUGUCCGUGCUCAUGACGUUGAUCAUGGACUCAAUUUGGAAAAGGCGGGAGCAACAGCGGUUGUCCCCAAGGCCUUGGAACCUAGUCUCCAAUUAGCUGCUGCUGUUCUUGCACAGGGCUGUUGAUCACCAAUAUGAGGGUAAUAUCUUUGCCACCGCUGGAGCUCAAGUAGAUAUAUGGGAUCAUAAUAGGUCCCAGCCUGUGAAUAGCUUUGAGUGGGGAAAAGACACAGUUAUAUCUGUUCGAUUUAAUUCUGGGAAACCAAAUAUCUUGGCCACAUCAGCUAGAUCCUCGUGACGAUCUCAACGGGAUGGAUGUAGCAAGAAAGGUUUGUAUUUUUUUCCAGGAAUUUGUUGACCCCUGCCCUCCUUCCAUAAAAUCACUUGCAUUUAGCUGAGGUGAAACUAAUUUCAAGAAAGUAUUCUGUUUGAGGAUACAUCAUAAACAUAUUGUUACUAAAUGGUACACAUUUGCGGAAGGCUUAGUUCUAUUAUUAACUUUAAUGUUUUACUUGUGUAAUGUGACACCUAGUGUGUUGUACAGAUUGGAAGAAUUUGAUUAGUGACAAGUGUGCAGCAACUGUUAUACUACUCAAUUUGGAGUAGUUCUGGCUUAUAAACAAAAAUUAUGGUUUGACUGGCAUUCUAGCAACUGAGAUCUCCUACUUGUUUCCUGUUCGACUUGUGCAAAAUAUGAAGCAAUCUCAAUAUUGUUCAGAGUGAUGAUAUCCUUGAAGUAGUUGAUUUGCAAGUUUAAAAAAUCUAAUAGUUCUUGUUCAAU